rnacentral:rRNA from 1 species
CGAGGCACUACGGUGCUGAAGCAACAAAUGCCCUGCUUCCAGGAAAAGCCUCUAAGCAUCAGGUAACAUCAAAUCGUACCCCAAACCGACACAGGUGGUCAGGUAGAGAAUACCAAGGCGCUUGAGAGAACUCGGGUGAAGGAACUAGGCAAAAUGGUGCCGUAACUUCGGGAGAAGGCACGCUGAUAUGUAGGUGAAGUCCCUCGCGGAUGGAGCUGAAAUCAGUCGAAGAUACCAGCUGGCUGCAACUGUUUAUUAAAAACACAGCACUGUGCAAACACGAAAGUGGACGUAUACGGUGUGACGCCUGCCCGGUGC